rnacentral:tRNA from 1 species
UCCUGGUUAGCUCAGUUGGUAGAGCGCUCCACUGGAAAUGAAGGGGUCCCUGUUUCGAUAUCAGGACCAGGCA